UGCCUACGGGGGGCAGCAGUAGGGAAUCUUCGGCAAUGGGCGAAAGCCUGACCGAGCAACGCCGCGUGAAUGAAGAAGGCCUUCGGGUUGUAAAAUUCUGUUAUAAGGGAAGAAAGGUGAUAGGAGGAAAUGACUAUCAAUUGACGGUACCUUAUGAGAAAGCCACGGCUAACUACGUGCCAGCAGCCGCGGUAAUACGUAGGUGGCAAGCGUUAUCCGGAAUUAUUGGGCGUAAAGAGCGCGCAGGUGGUCCUGCAAGUCUGGAGUGAAACGCAUGAGCUCAACUCAUGCAUGGCUUUGGAAAC
rnacentral:rRNA from 1 species